GAAAUGCGAUAAGUAAUGUGAAUUGCAGAAUUCAGUGAAUCAUCGAAUCUUUGAACGCAUCUUGCGCUCCUUGGUAUUCCUUGGAGCAUGCCUGUUUGAGUAUCAUGAAAUCUUCAAAGUAAAUCUUUUGUUAACUCAAUUGGUUUCUACUUUGGUAUUGGAGGUCUUUGCAGCUUCACACCUGCUCCUCUUUGUUCAUUAGCUGGAUCUCAGUGUUAUGCUUGGUUCCACUCGGCGUGAUAAGUUAUCUAUCGCUGAGGACACUGUAAAAGGUGGCCAAGGUAAAUGCAGAUGAACCGCUUCUAAUAGUCCAUUGACUUGGACAAUACUUUUAUGAUCUGAUCUCAAAUCAGGUAGGACUACCCUCUGAACUUAAGC
rnacentral:misc_RNA from 1 species